rnacentral:misc_RNA from 1 species
GAUGAAGAACGCAGCGAAAUGCGAUAAGUAAUGUGAAUUGCAGAAUUCAGUGAAUCAUCGAAUCUUUGAACGCACAUUGCGCCCGCCAGUAUUCUGGCGGGCAUGCCUGUUCGAGCGUCAUUUCAACCAUCAAGCCCCCGGCUUGUGUUGGGGACCUGCGGCUGCCGCAGGCCCUGAAAAGCAGUGGCGGGCUCGCUGUCACACCGAGCGUAGUAGCAUACAUCUCGCUCUGGGCGUGCUGCGGGUUCCGGCCGUUAAACCACCUUCAUAACCCAAGGUUGACCUCGGAUCAGGUAGGAAGACCCGCUGAACUUAAGCAUAUUAAUAAGCGGAGGA